rnacentral:rRNA from 1 species
CGUAUACAAUCUACCUUUACAGAGGAUAGCCAGAGUAAAUUUGGAUUAAUACCUCAUAGUAUUUUCGGAUCGCAUGAUUUGAUUAUUAAAGUUCCAACGGUAAAAGAUGAGUAUGCGUCCCAUUAGCUAGAUGGUAAGGUAACGGCUUACCAUGGCAAUGAUGGGUAGGGGUCCUGAGAGGGAGAUCCCCCACACUGGUACUGAGACACGGACCAGACUCCUACGGGAGGCAGCAGUGAGGAAUAUUGGACAAUGGGCGCAAGCCUGAUCCAGCCAUGCCGCGUGCAGGAAGAAGGUCCUAUGGAUUGUAAACUGCUUUUAUACAAGAAGAAACACUCCCUCGUGAGGGAACUUGACGGUACUGUAUGAAUAAGGACCGGCUAACUCCGUG